GCAUUAGCUAGUUGGUGGGGUAAAGGCUUACCAAGGCAAUGAUGCGUAGCCGAACUGAGAGGUUGAUCGGCCACAUUGGGACUGAGACACGGCCCAAACUCCUACGGGAGGCAGCAGUAGGGAAUCUUCCACAAUGGGCGAAAGCCUGAUGGAGCAACGCCGCGUGGGUGAAGAAGGUCUUCGGAUCGUAAAACCCUGUUGUUAGAGAAGAAAGUGCGUGAGAGUAACUGUUCACGUUUCGACGGUAUCUAACCAGAAAGCCACGGCUAACUACGUGCCAGCAGCCGCGGUAAUACGUAGGUGGCAAGCGUUAUCCGGAUUUAUUGGGCGUAAAGGGAACGCAGGCGGUCUUUUAAGUCUGAUGUGAAAGCCUUCGGCUUAACCGGAGUAGUGCAUUGGAAACUGGGAGACUUGAGUGCAGAAGAGGAGAGUGGAACUCCAUGUGUAGCGGUGAAAUGCGUAGAUAUAUGGAAGAACACCAGUGGCGAAAGCGGCUCUCUGGUCUGUAACUGACGCUGAGGUUCGAAAGCGUGGGUAGCAAACAGGAUUAGAUACCCUGGUAGUCCACGCCG
rnacentral:rRNA from 1 species